CAAAAGGUACGACUUUUAGACUAACCAAUCAACAAACAAACUGUUUCUCUUUCUUCUGUAGUACACAAAUGUUAUUUUUCUAGGUUAGGUUUAGGGAUUGGGUAAUGGACUUUAUAGUUAGGUUUAGGGAUUGGAUAAUGGACUUUAUAGUUAGGUUUAGGGAUUGGGUAAUGGACUUUAUAGUUAGGUUUAGGGAUUGGGUAAUGGACUUUAUAGUUAGGUUUAGGGAUUGGGUAAUGGACUUUAUAGUUAGGUUUAGGGAUUGGGUAAUGGACUUUAUAGUUAGGUUUAGGGAUUGGGUAAUGGACUUUAUAGUUAGGUUUAGGGAUUGGGUAAUGGACUUUAUAGUUAGGUUUAGGGAUUGGGUAAUGGACUUUAUAGUUAGGUUUAGGGAUUGGGUAAUGGACUUUAUAGUUAGGUUUAGGGAUUGGGUAAUGGACUUUAUAGUUAGGUUUAGGGAUUGUGUAAUGGACUUUAUAGUUAGGUUUAGGGAUUGGGUAAUGGACUUUAUAGUUAGGUUUAGGGAUUGGGUAAUGGACUUUAUAGUUAGGUUUAGGGAUUGGGUAAUGGACUUUAUAGUUAGGUUUAGGGUUUUGGUAAUGGACUUUAUAGUUAGGUUUAGGGAUUGGGUAAUGGACUUUAUAGUUAGGUUUAGGGAUUGUGUAAUGGACUUUAUAGUUAGGUUUAGGGUUUUGGUAAUGGACUUUAUAGUUAGGUUUAGGGAUUGUGUAAUGGACUUUAUAGUUAGGUUUAGGGAUUGGGUAAUGGACUUUAUAGUUAGGUUUAGGGAUUGGGUAAUGGACUUUAUAGUUAGGUUUAGGGAUUGGGUAAUGGACUUUAUAGUUAGGUUUAGGUGUAGGGUUGGGUUUAGGGUUAAACAAAGGAAAAAUAGUAAAAACAUUAUUCGUUAGUUCGUUUAGUUUCCUCUCUGCAUGUAAAAGUCACAAGUUUUUCGAGCUAACUCGUCAGAUUUCUUAUUAUUCCGCCGUCUCUAAGGGUACAAUGGUUUUUUUUUUUUUUUUGUCACAAAGUGUAUCAAGAUUGAAAACAAUAUUUUUGUUUUUAUUAAACACUGAUGGAGCAACAUAAUUUGUGUGAAAAGAGACAAUAACAGAAGGUUAUUUUGAUUAAAAAUCUUUUUUUUUUUUUUUUUUUACUUAUACUCCACAUUUGGGGUAAAAUGCUCCCAGGGGGAAUAUAGUGACUUUGUGUAGAUAGAGGGGCAAUAGUUAUGGUGCAAAAUUUGUCAACUAAUGCAAAUACUUUUUGAAACAGCAAGAUGCGUUUCUGAGUAAUAAAUAAAGAUAAUGCUUAAUCAAAAUAACCACUCAGAAAAGGGUGGACCAUUUCCUGUUCAUUUCAAUCACAUUUGGCAUUUCAUAUCAUCCCAAGUAUUCUAUAAACAAAUGAAUCUCCAUUGUGAUUGGUUUAUGAUUGGUUACGGUUAUGCAUUUUUUUUUUUUUGGGGUGUUUUUUUUUGGGGGGGGGGGG